rnacentral:tRNA from 1 species
GGAGAUUUGGCAGAGUGGUUGAUUGCAACAGUCUUGAAAACUGCAGACCGGGAAUUCGGUUCCAGGGUUCGAAUCCCUGAGUCUCCG